rnacentral:tRNA from 1 species
GCCCGGAUAGCCCAACGGGAGAGGCACGCGGCUCAGACCCGCGCCAGUGCGCGUUCGAAUCGCGCUCCGGGUA